GGAAAAGAAACCAACAGGGAUUGCCUCAGUAACGGCGAGUGAAGCGGCAACAGCUCAAAUUUGAAAUCUGGCCCUCGGGUCCGAGUUGUAAUUUGCAGAGGAUGCUUCGGGCGAGGCUUUGAUCGAGUCCCCUGGAAUGGGGCGCCACAGAGGGUGAGAGCCCCGUAUGAUCAGCCGCCGAACCCGUGUGAAGCUCCUUCGACGAGUCGAGUAGUUUGGGAAUGCUGCUCUAAAUGGGAGGUAAAUUUCUUCUAAAGCUAAAUACCGGCCAGAGACCGAUAGCGCACAAGUAGAGUGAUCGAAAGAUGAAAAGCACUUUGAAAAGAGAGUUAAAAAGCACGUGAAAUUGUUGAAAGGGAAGCGCCUAUGACCAGACUCGGGCUCUUGGGAUCAUCCGCCCUUCUGGGCGGUGCACUCCCUCGUUCUCGGGCCAGCAUCGGUUCUCCUCGGGGGAUAAAGGCGCCAGGAACGUGGCUCCCUUCGGGGAGUGUUAUAGCCUGGCGCGUCAUGCUCCGGGGGGGACCGAGGACCGCGCUUCGGCAUGGAUGCUGGCGUAAUGGUCACCGGCGACCCGUCUUGAAACACGGACCAAGGAGUCAAGCAUUAGGGCGAGUGUACGGGUGUAAAACCCGAACGCGCAGUGAAAGCGAACGCUGGUGAGAGCUUCGGCGCAUCACCGACCGAUCCUGAAGUCUUCGGAUGGAUUUGAGUAGGAGCCUUAACGCUUGGACCCGAAAGAUGGUGAACUAUGCCUGAAUAGGGUGAAGCCAGAGGAAACUCUGGUGGAGGCUCGCAGCGGUUCUGACGUGCAAAUCGAUCGUCAAAUUUGGGCAUAGGGGCGAAAGACUAAUCGAACCAUCUAGUAGCUGGUUACCGC
rnacentral:rRNA from 1 species